AUUGAACGCUGGCGGCAGGCUUAACACAUGCAAGUCGAGCGAGCGGCGGACGGGUGAGUAAUGUCUGGGCAACUGCCUGAUGGAGGGGGAUAACUACUGGAAACGGUAGCUAAUACCGCAUACCAUCAGAUGUGCCCAGAUGGGAUUAGCUAGUAGGUGGGGGAAUGGCUCACCUAGGCGACGAUCCCUAGCUGGUCUGAGAGGAUGACGAGCAACACUGAAACUGAGACACGUUCCAGACUCCGACGGGAGGCAGCAUUGGGGAAUAUUGCACUAUGGGCGCAAGCCUGAUGCAGCCAUGCCGCGUGUGGGAAGAAGGCCUUCGGGUUGUAAAUCACUUUCAGCUAGGAGGCGUUACUCGCAGAAGACGCACCGGCUAACUCCGUGCCAGCCGCCGCGGUAAUUC
rnacentral:rRNA from 1 species